AUUGGACGCUGGCGGAAUGCUUUACACAUGCAAGUCGAACGGCAGCACGGACUUCGGUCUGGUGGCGAGUGGCGAACGGGUGAGUAAUACAUCGGAACGUGCCCAAUCGUGGGGGAUAACGUAGCGAAAGCUACGCUAAUACCGCAUACGAUCUAAGGAUGAAAGCGGGGGAUCGCAAGACCUCGCGCGAUUGGAGCGGCCGAUGGCAGAUUAGGUAGUUGGUAGGGUAAAGGCCUACCAAGCCGACGAUCUGUAGCUGGUCUGAGAGGAUGAUCAGCCACACUGGGGCUGAGACACGGCCCAGACUCCUACGGGAGGCAGCAGUGGGGAAUUUUGGACAAUGGACGCAAGUCUGAUCCAGCCAUUCCGCGUGCAGGAUGAAGGCCCUCGGGUUGUAAACUGCUUUUGUACAGAACGAAAAGGCUCUGGUUAAUACCUAGGGCUCAUGACGGUACUGUAAGAAUAAGCACCGGCUAACUACGUGCCAGCCGCCGCAGUAA
rnacentral:rRNA from 1 species